ACCUUGUGCUAAACUGCGGAGAAGUUUUGGUGUCGCCCAGUCGUGGAUGGGCUGUGACAGCAGUGGACGUGCCAAUGGACUUGAUGAGUGGCCAUCACAGGGAUGGAUGUCUCCAUAAUACACUAGCCUGAGUCUUAUGGAAGCCAGGGCUGGCACAUAGGGGCGAAGUGAUCUGUAUUCGCCAGGACCAGGAGUCAGGACCUGGGGUUUGAGGAUCAUCAGAGGAGAACGGCAGAGGCAGAGGUGCAGACAGGAGGGGCCGUAAAUAUUGAUGAGGAGCCGACGCGCACAGGAAAGACGCUGGAGACAAGGAGCUGCUCAAGGAGGACAAGGACAGGAAUUAAAUUAUUCAUCAUCUGAAAUGACUGUAAAAGGAAUAUAGUAGAGAUGUUGAAAUGACUGUAAAAGGAAUAUAUUGUAGUACAAAUGUUGAAGGGGGGGGUGAGAGUGAAAAAGAAGGGGGGGCACGCAAUCAAAACAAAGUUUUAGGCAAAGGCCAGUGCUGACGUCCAACAGGAGAGCAUGCUCUGACUGAGAACAGCUGGAAGGCAGGCUUUGAACUCUUCUGCCUCCUCUGCCUCUCUGUGAAGUCCUUCUCAGGCCCCAGAGCAGUUGUGAAGGCUCAGUGCUGGAUUACUCUGUGGCUUUGGUGAGAUCCCUAUGACUCACAGGGUUUCAUAGCAAACCAGACUUCCUAAUUCUUUUCCAUCUCAGUGUUAUGCUAAAUGUGUCCAUUGUGUGUGUGUAUGCGAUUGUAGGUGUGUGUAUGUAUGUAUUGUUGUGUGAUGCAAAAGGGAGUUCAUACUCACAGUCCAUAUGUGUAUAUGCAUCCUAAAAGACAU